AUGCAUGAUUCACAUGCAUGCCGAUCGAGAAAUUCCGAUUCCCUCCAUCCAAUAACGCGGGUAGUGGGUUGGCAGCUCGUCUCGAAGGGGCGUCGUUCGACGCCUCCUCCGGCUUUUCAUCGCCCUUCCUUCAAUGCAUGGCUGCCUCCUCCGGCAUGGCUGAGAGAUAGAUGUUUUCGGUGUCUGUGUCGGGGUCAUCGAGCACACUCCUGCAGGGAUCCAAUCCGUUGCAGAAAUUGCCUCUGUUUCGGUCACAUUGCUCGCUUUUGCCGUGCGAAGCAACCUGUCGACCUGACUACGCCGCAACCAUGUGUUGUUCCACCGCCUGCAUCCGUCAUCCAAGCUGAUGUGCCAUUACAGCCCGUCCUUGAGUAG
rnacentral:rRNA from 1 species